rnacentral:rRNA from 1 species
GUCCUAGCCCUAACGGUGCUUACUGGGUGUGGGAGGAAUCGACCCUUCCGUGCCGAAGCUAACGCAUUAAGUAAGCCGCCUGGGAGUACGGUCGCAAGACUAAACUCAAAGAAUUGACGGGCCCGCACAAGCGGUGGAGCAUGUGGCUUAAUUCGAUGCAACGCGAAGAACCUUACCUGGCCUUGACAUGUACGUAGUAGAAGCCCGAAAUGGCGACGAGGUAGCAAUACCAGCGUACACAGGUGCUGCAUGGCUGUCGU